CUUAUAAAUAGGAAGAAAACAUCUGACCUGUUUUGUUUUUGCUGCCUCAAGACUUCCUCUCUGCUACACAAUGUGUAAGUUACACUUCUACCUUUGAUGCCGGAAAAUUCACUGUCACAACAGGCCAAGGUAGAAAUAUAAAUAUUUCAAAUUUGAAUU